GAUGAACGCUGGCGGCGUGCCUAAUACAUGCAAGUCGAGCGAACAGACGAGGAGCUUGCUCCGCUGACGUUAGCGGCGGACGGGUGAGUAACACGUGGAUAACCUACCUAUAAGACUGGGAUAACUUCGGGAAACCGGAGCUAAUACCGGAUAAUAUAUUGAACCGCAUGGUUCAAUAGUGAAAGACGGUUUUGCUGUCACUUAUAGAUGGAUCCGCGCCGCAUUAGCUAGUUGGUAAGGUAACGGCUUACCAAGGCAACGAUGCGUAGCCGACCUGAGAGGGUGAUCGGCCACACUGGAACUGAGACACGGUCCAGACUCCUACGGGAGGCAGCAGUAGGGAAUCGGCCGCAAUGGGCGAAAGCCUGACGGAGCAACGCCGCGUGAGUGAUGAAGGUCUUCGGAUCGUAAAACUCUGUUAUUAGGGAAGAACAAAUGUGUAAGUAACUAUGCACGUCUUGACGGUACCUAAUCAGAAAGCCACGGCUAACUACGUG
rnacentral:rRNA from 1 species